rnacentral:rRNA from 1 species
GACGAACCGCCCAAACGUUAUUCGGAAUUACUGGGCUUAAAGGGUGCGUAGGCGGCCCGGCAAGUCAGGUGUGAAAUCCCACGGCUCAACCGUGGAACUGCGCUUGAAACUGCUGGGCUUGAGGGAGAUAGAGGUAAGCGGAACUGAUGGUGGAGCGGUGAAAUGCAUUGAUAUCAUCAGGAACACCGGUGGCGAAGGCGGCUUACUGGGUCUCUUCUGACGCUGAGGCACGAAAGCUAGGGGAGCGAACGGGAUUAGAUACCCCUGUAGU